GAUCCGCUCCGCUGUCCGAAUAAACCGAAGUUGUGGGCUCAUGUGUUGCUGCUGAUUUAGAACGAUGGAUACUACCUGUGGCUGUGGGAGAUCUGUCAUCGCGUAGGAAAGGAAAGUGCUUCUUUGCGGGUUCCCGUAAUACCACCGACCGGAUUAGUACCGUUCCGGGGAGCAUGGACAUUGAAGCGCGAGUAUCUGCGCUCUGCGUAAACACUAUCGACUGAUCCUGAUUGUUCAGAAGAAUAUACACUGCCAUAUACAAGAAGGCAGAAGUGGACCAUUUCACGCGACUUUCUGGGGCUGAUGUCGGAUCAACUGGAUGAUGGAAUACAUACGAGUAAACAAAAAUCAUGCCGGGAAAACCCCCAUUUUCAGCGGUGGUCAAGUUCAGCAAGCAACGAUCGUCGUCUGUGGUGUAGGAACCAGUGCGAGUCCGACAGUGGCAACACUUGUGCAAGCCUCAUCGAUAUACAGGGCGGACGUCUCGACCCCAGCCCGAUUGUGAAGGCCAUAGUCGCAAGCCCUUCAAAUCAGAACAUUAUCACCCAGCAACAUCAUCCAAACAGGCACGGUAGGACAGGCAGUACAAGUGCAAUCAGUCGGGCAGAAGGUCUCAGUUGCUACGAUUAAUACUAGUUCCGCAGCGAAUGUUACCACAAUACAGGCAGGAACAAUAUCCACAGUUCAAGUUACCCCUGGACAACAGAGAACUCAGUUCAUUGAGCAGGUUGGAACGAAACAGAUGAUAACUCGGCGAGUUAUUGAGGGUGAGAUGCAAAUGAUGAUGGAACGGCAGAUUAUCAGUCAACAGCACAAGUAGUAACUUAUGCCCCAAACACGGGUUUUUGCUCCUGCCAAUGUGUUAGUCCAAUAGGCUGGAACUUCCGGUCAGCAAAUUGCAACACUUGUUAAAACUUCAUCAGGAACAGUAGCAGCAAGUAGCAGUUACUGGAAUGACGUUGUCUCAGUUGAAACCUGGUCAACUGAAAGCAAUCAAGAGUCAGGUUUGACAGCUUUAUCUUCAACAGCAAAUCAUUGCUGCUCAGCGUAAGACUGGAAAAAUGAAUUAGAUUACGCAGAUGGCCGGCAAAAGUGCCCAACCAAUGCAGCUUUUCGUGCAAGGUCCCAAAAAUCUAUCUACAGGAACUGUUACAACAGAUACAGCAAGUUAUCCGUCAUGCGCAGCCGGCAUCUAUUGUCGCUGGUGGACAAAUCGUGCUGGGUAACACCAGUGUCGGACGGUUCAUUCCGUUGUCAGUGUCACAACAGGCCAACCAACGACAGACCGUUCAAGUUGUGACCGCAACUUCGGCUGCACAAGCAAAUGCAGCUGGCAACAUCCAAGUCUAUGCUCCUACUCAGAGCAUUGGGAACAUUAAGGUGACCGCCGGAGCUACUCCAGCUCAGCAGCAGCAGGCUAUUCUGACUGAAUUGCAAAAUCAGCAGCGCUAAACUGCAAGCCCAGUGCGAUUGCACGUCUAGCGGAUCAUUAGCGUAGCGAUCGUUACAAUACAGCAACCUCAAGCGGUGGCAUCCGCUACCAGUGCAGCCGAGCUGCAGCAACAGGCGAAACAAGUUGUCACAGCUUGCACAUUUCAGGCGCAACAGGCGGAACGCCUUCAUUGUCAUAAGACGACUUUAGUAUUCAGUGUCUCGUAUUUGACUAGACAUAAAAAAGACAAUUGCAAAUUUUUUAAUUACCUCAUUCACCUAUACAACUAAUUGUCUUAUUGCUUAGGUAGAAACUUGAAGAGCAGCUGCCGUAUCCCCAAUCUAGUUAUUUACAUACUCCUCCACUUAAAUAACAUCGAAGAUCUCGGUUCUUCCAGGUAAAUCCAAGACUGACGACUGACACUUUCGAACGAAUGCGAUUCAUUC